rnacentral:rRNA from 1 species
GGGGGGGGGGUGCUAAUACAUGCAGUCGAGCGGACAGAAGGGAGCUUGCUCCCGGAUGUUAGCGGCGGACGGGUGAGUAACACGUGGGUAACCUGCCUGUAAGACUGGGAUAACUCCGGGAAACCGGAGCUAAUACCGGAUAGUUCCUUGAACCGCAUGGUUCAAGGAUGAAAGACGGUUUCGGCUGUCACUUACAGAUGGACCCGCGGCGCAUUAGCUAGUUGGUGAGGUAACGGCUCACCAAGGCGACGAUGCGUAGCCGACCUGAGAGGGUGAUCGGCCACACUGGGACUGAGACACGGCCCAGACUCCUACGGGAGGCAGCAGUAGGGAAUCUUCCGCAAUGGACGAAAGUCUGACGGAGCAACGCCGCGUGAGUGAUGAAGGUUUUCGGAUCGUAAAGCUCUGUUGUUAGGGAAGAACAAGUGCAAGAGUAACUGCUUGCACCUUGACGGUACCUAACCAGAAAGCCACGGCUAACUACGUGCCAGCAGCCGCGGUAAUACGUAGGUGGCAAGCGUUGUCCGGAAUUAUUGGGCGUAAAGGGCUCGCAGGCGGUUUCUUAAGUCUGAUGUGAAAGCCCCCGGCUCAACCGGGGAGGGUCAUUGGAAACUGGGAAACUUGAGUGCAGAAGAGGAGAGUGGAAUUCCACGUGUAGCGGUGAAAUGCGUAGAGAUGUGGAGGAACACCAGUGGCGAAGGCGACUCUCUGGUCUGUAACUGACGCUGAGGAGCGAAAGCGUGGGGAGCGAACAGGAUUAGAUACCCUGGUAGUCCACGCCGUAAACGAUGAGUGCUAAGUGUUAGGGGGUUUCCGCCCCUUAGUGCUGCAGCUAACGCAUUAAGCACUCCGCCUGGGGAGUACGGUCGCAAGACUGAAACUCAAAGGAAUUGACGGGGGCCCGCACAAGCGGUGGAGCAUGUGGUUUAAUUCGAAGCAACGCGAAGAACCUUACCAGGUCUUGACAUCCUCUGACAACCCUAGAGAUAGGGCUUUCCCUUCGGGACAGAGUGACAGGUGGUUGCAUGGUUGUCGUCAGCUUCGUGUCGUGAGAUGUUGGGUUAAGUCCGCAACGAGCGCAACCUUUGAUAUCUUAGUGCCAGCAUCAGUUGGGCACUCUUAAGGUGACUUGGCGGU